CUAGGAUCAGGAAAGGAUGUCUGGGAUGCUGAGCACCGGGAUGCUCACCGCUUCUGCCUAUAGGACACAGCUUCAGCAUGCAGCAGAGGAAUUCCUGCUGGGGAAGGAAGCAGAAGAUCCAAUAUAUACUGCCCCAGAAGGGCAUCUCGCAAUAUGGGGAAGAAAGGGCCAAGAGCUCUCAGGAGAAGAGGACCAGGGUCACACAUCAGGUUCAUCUCUGCAGUUCUCCCAAGUGAGAGUCAUUUCACAUGUAAAUGUGAAUUGCAUUGUGGAAAUGGUCAGGUGUCUGAAAUGUGUCUCAGACCACAAGGAAUCAGAGAGAAAGAGAAAGCUUCUCUAGGGGCUGCCCAGACUGAAAGAGUACAGCAAGUCCUGAUGGUCCCUUGUCUGCUUCUUGCAGGCUUUCCUGGGCAUGCUUGUUCCUGCUGAACAUCUUUCCCAUGGAGCUGAGUGCACUGCCAGCAGAUCACAUUGCACCUGCGGAUGAAGUCAGCCCAGAUGCCUGUGCUUGACCUCCAAGCAGGUUGUAGGUUACUUACCCCGCAGCAGGGGAUCACAAGCAGUGCUAGCUGAUAGCCACAGCCAGCGUGUCUGACUUGCCCUCUAUCUUUCCUACCCCUUCUCUCCGCUGGGCAAUAAUUGGGGCUGGAGAGAGCAGCAGAGGGGGAGGACCAGCCCCGCUGCCCCAGAGGUGCUGGUGGACACUUGCAUACCUGAUGCCUAGUCUGUAGUGGUUGGCAGCAGCACAUGCUACAGGAGAGGGAAGGCUCAUUGCUACUUUCUUGUUUCAUCUUAUCUGGUAAAAAUAGGCAGGUUGUUGUUAUUUUGAUCAGAUCAGUCCUUGUUUUGGAGGCAGAAACUAAAAAAUGGGGUUUGUUGUUUAGGGAAUAUCAGCCUGGGUUAUUCCUUGUUCUCUCCAGCAGGGACCAGUGGAAAUAGAGGCAGUGUCACAUCCAGAGCUGGAACAGGCUGCCUGUUUGGAUGACUCUGAAGCAGAAAUGGGAGUGGAUUGUAUUUGCUGGCCUCCACAUGAUCUCUGCGGAGGCAUCCAAGCUGCGCACUUUGUAGAACAGCUCAGUGGAUUUACUUUUUUCCUUUAUCGUUCCUACUCCCAGCUGUGGUCUUUUCUCCCUCUGCUGAAAAAUCAUUCCUCAGUUGACAAGAGCUUGCUAUAACCUUAGAGCCCUUUGGAGUCAAUACACAGUCAUCAGGGAGAGGCCAGGAGCAGGAGGGUUAAUGGGAUCAGAAUCAGCUGAUUCCAGAGAGCCAUAAUAUAGUGUCUCUGUCUUUCUUUUCUUGCUGUCUUUUAAUUAAGCCCCUUGUGCCUCUGCCUGGGAUUU
rnacentral:lncRNA from 1 species